rnacentral:rRNA from 1 species
GGGCCCGCACAAGCGGUGGAGUAUGUGGUUUAAUUCGAUGCAACGCGAAGAACCUUACCAGGGUUUGACAUCCUGCGAAUCUCUUGGAAACGAGAGAGUGCCUUCGGGAACGCAGUGACAGGUGGUGCAUGGCUGUCGUCAGCUCGUGUCGUGAGAUGUUGGGUUAAGUCCCGCAACGAGCGCAACCCUCGUCCUUAGUUGCUACCAUUUAGUUGGGCACUUUAAGGAAACUGCCGGUGAUAAGCCGGAGGAAGGUGGGGAUGACGUCAAGUCCUCAUGGCCCUUACAGGCUGGGCUACACACGUGCUACAAUGGCGAUGACAGUGGGCUGCAAGUUCGCGAGGACAAGCAAAUCCCAUAAACCGUGGCUCAGUUCAGAUCGUAGGCUGCAACUCGCCUACGUG